AGUCGAACGGUAGCACAGAGAGCUUGCUCUCGGGUGACGAGUGGCGGACGGGUGAGUAAUGUCUGGGAAACUGCCCGAUGGAGGGGGAUAACUACUGGAAACGGUAGCUAAUACCGCAUAACGUCGCAAGACCAAAGUGGGGGACCUUCGGGCCUCACACCAUCGGAUGUGCCCAGAUGGGAUUAGCUAGUAGGUGGGGUAAUGGCUCACCUAGGCGACGAUCCCUAGCUGGUCUGAGAGGAUGACCAGCCACACUGGAACUGAGACACGGUCCAGACUCCUACGGGAGGCAGCAGUGGGGAAUAUUGCACAAUGGGCGCAAGCCUGAUGCAGCCAUGCCGCGUGUAUGAAGAAGGCCUUCGGGUUGUAAAGUACUUUCAGCGGGGAGGAAGGCGGUGAAGUUAAUAGCUUCACCGAUUGACGUUACCCGCAGAAGAAGCACCGGCUAACUCCGUGCCAGCAGCCGCGGUAAUACGGAGGGUGCAAGCGUUAAUCGGAAUUACUGGGCGUAAAGCGCACGCAGGCGGUCUGUCAAGUCGGAUGUGAAAUCCCCGGGCUUUAACCUGGGAACUGCAUUCGAAACUGGCAGGCUAGAGUCUUUGUAGAGGGGGGUAGAAUUCCAGGUGUAGCGGUGAAAUGCGUAGAGAUCUGGGAGGAAUACCGGUGGCGAAGGCGGCCCCCUGGACAAAGACUGACGCUCAGGUGCGAAAGCGUGGGGGAGCAAACAGGGAUUAGAUACCCUGGUAGUCCACGCCGUAAAACGAUGUCGACUUGGAGGUGUUCCCUUGAGGAGUGGCUUCCGGAGCUAACGCGUUAAGUCGACCGCCUGGGGGAGUACGGCCGCAAG
rnacentral:rRNA from 1 species